CUUCUUCUCCGUAAGUUGCGUAUUUUUAUAUUUAUAUAUAAAUUUCCGUGUCUUCGGAGAGGUUGAUAAAAUAGUAGUCAAUUUUGCUUUGGGACUGCUCUUUGCCUUCGUUAUAGGCAGCAACUUCAGGCUGGGGAGGGCCUACAUCUGCGUCACUCUCUGCAAUCUCUUCACCUCCUUUGGUACAAGAAUCAUAAUGAUGUUAAUGCUUCGCGAAAUAUUUUACUUUGCAGUUCUGUAGUUCCAGAACAUAAGAAUAUUUUGCGAUUCGUACGUCUGUUUAGAAAAAUUUAUUCAUAGCAUGAUGCAAGACAAGCUUUUAAGAGAAAAACGUUUGUUUGUAGUUAAGAUAAAAAGCAUUCAAUCGUUCAUACUGAUGUACCGCAAUAUGAUUGGACUGUUCAUCUAAGGAGUAACUUUCAGUCAAAAAGCUUACAAAAUGCAUAUGGAAAUGCUACGCCGUAUGUUAGAGGGUCUAUUCAAUAGCUUGAAAAUAUGCAAUGAAAACGUGCCGAACAUCGCUGAUGAAUGCAUUCGCGGAGUUGAGGAUUUGAUUCCUAAAUGCACUGUAGCGAUACCUGCUGCCAUCUGUGCACAAUUCUUUCAUGCUGUAUCAAGUUUGGGAAAUUUGUGGCCUCAUUAACGUAACAACAACCGAGCUUUGUAAAUAUCCUAAAUUUGUUAUACAAUUCGUCGAGGAAUUAAAAAGUAUUCCAUUAGCAGCAACGCUUCUCGACGAUGCCAGUAACGAUUUCGACAUAGAAAUAAACGUUACAGCUCGGUUCAACCAUACCAUUACGAGUUCCAUGUCCACAGAGUCAUACGUAGACGAAAUUUUCACCCAACUAAAUAAGUACGUACCCAGCGAGGAGACUGGUACUCUUAUGUUCCAAUACAUUAAAGCUGUUCUAAUGACUUUGGCCUUUCUUGAAGGUUUCUAUGUUUUAUAUAGAUUCAAAAAUUAUCUAUAUUACAAAAACUAAUGCAUCUAAUCAAGGACUUUUCGACACUAAGAAUACCUAAGGCAAUAAAGAGGAUUUCGGACAAUCCUUCCUCUAACAGACUUUGACAAAGACUUAUUCCAGGAAUAUUUUUACAGUUUGCCUCCUCACAUAUCGUAGUUUUUGGCAGGUUUUUUUAAACAUUACUGGACUGUCCUCCUGAUGGCUCCUAUGCUACUGGUCUGUUAUUACAUCAACGAGGUCUUAGGAUCAUUGUUUGGAGCCGUUGAAACUUACAUAAACAACGCAGUCGUCCGAGAGAACCCCAAUAACACAGUAAAAUAUAUGGGAUCAAAAUUUGAAGGCCCUGGGAUAUUGCCCGACUGCAUGAGGGCUUACUAGUAAUUGUUCAUCCUGUUUCUUGACUCUUUUAAAGAAAUAAAUUAUGGUGAGUCAGCCAUCAAAUGCACACCAGCAUUUAUAAUAGUCCCCAAACAAGAGUUCAUAAGGCUUUUUAAACUUCUCGGGUUUCUGAUCGCAUUCCCCACAUUUCGCCUCAUUUAUGACAGAAUAGAUCACUACAUAUUAGAGGCAUUAUUCCCGGAGUACAAAAUACCACGGGCAAGAAAUUUGAUAAUUAGGAUUCAGAACUACCGUUACAGAAACAUGUAUGAAUAUAUGUAUGCCAGGAGGAUAUACCUUUCAAGUGAGAUAACCGUCAAAAGAAGGACGAAAAUUUUAAAUUUUAUCAAACGAUUUUUUUAUAGAAUGUUUGGUAAAUUUAAAGAGUACCUCAUAAUGGAGUUUACAAAAUACGACCAUGUCUGCACCCUCUGCUACAAGCGAAUGCCAACAGCUACAGCCACAUUGUGCAUCCAGCCUAACUGUGGCACAGCCCUUUGUAAAGAAUGCGCUGACGUGCGCUUUAAAUAUUAUGCUGGAAACUGUUGUGAGUGUGGUUACCCAAUGUUCCUGGUGGAGCAUGUAGACUGUCUACCCCGGCUUAGUCCCACGCGAUCUCUAUUCGAGGAGGAAAUUGAGGAUGAGGUAGAUGAUGGCCUCCCUAAGCAGCUGCCCAAGAACGACUGGAUGAUGCCGAAGACGAAAUGUAAAACUUGUAAAAUAAGAAUUGUAUUUGACAGACAGGAUGUGUGUUAGCUGUGUCGUCAAGGAGGUAAAGUGAGUGAGUUUGAUCCACAACCCUAUGAACAUUUGUACAAGGCGCCAGAGGAUCCCUUCGCAGGAUUCCAUCCCCACAAGAUGUGGUAUGAAGAAGAAACGGGUUCAUUUAAGUCGGAACGUUAAGAUGCACCUUGAACAAAGCAGACGGAGUAUCGAGCAUUCAGCGCUCAGUGAGCUGAGUAACUCUCAGCGUUAAUGUUUCUUAUGAUAAACGAGUACCGUUUAUAAUAAGAAACAAUAUCUUAUGAUAAACGAGUAUCAUGAUAAACAGUAUCCUGUUAAGAUAAACAGUAUCGUGUUAUGAUAAACAGUAUCGUGUUAUGAUAAACAGUAUCGUCUGAUGAUAAACAGUAUCGUCUGAAGAUAAACAGUAUCGUCUGAUGAUAAACAGUAUCGUGUUAUGAUAAACAGUAUCGUGUUAUGAUAAACGAGUAUCACGAUAAACAGUAUCGUGUUAUGAUAAACAGUAUCGUUUAUGAUAAACAGUAUCGUGUUAUGAUAAACGAUAUCGUUUAUGAUAAACAGUAUCGUGUUAUGAUAAACGAGUGUUAUGAUAAACAGUAUCGUGUUAUGAUAAACGAGUUUGGGUAUCUUUAUUCUGGAAUAAAGUUACACAAAUGUUGCACAAAGUCUCGUUAAUCAACUUGUCGGUUUACUAAAUUAUAUAUUCAUAA